rnacentral:rRNA from 1 species
GACGAACGCUGGCGGCGUGCUUAACACAUGCAAGUCGAACGGAAAGGCCCUGCUUUUGUGGGGUUCUCGAGUGGCGAGCGGGUGAGUAACACGUGAGUAACCUGCCCUUGACUUUGGGAUAACUUCAGGAAACUGGGGCUAAUACCGGAUAGGAGCUCCUGCUGCAUGGUGGGGGUUGGUAAGUUUCGGCGGUUGGGGCUGGACUCGCGGCUUAUCAGCUUGUUGGUGGGGUAGUGGCUUACCAAGGCUUUGACGGGUAGGCGGCCUGAGAGGGUGACCGGCGACAUUGGGACUGAGAUACGGCGCAGACUCCUACGGGAGGCAGCAGUGGGGAACAUGGCACAAUGGGCGGAAGCCUGAUGCAGCAACGCCGCGUGCGGGAUGACGGCCUUCGGGUUGUAAACCGCUUUCGCCUGUGACGAAGAGUGAGUGACGGUAAUGGGUAAAGAAGCACCGGCUAACUACGUG